rnacentral:snRNA from 1 species
AGCUUUGAGCAGUGGUAGCACCGUCGCCUCUGAGGUUUAACCAAGGCACGAUUGUUACUGAUUGAAAACAUGAGACCGAAUUCCAGCCCUCUCCUCUCUCCAGUGGCAGACUGAGGCU